CCAUAGGGGCCAGGAGUUUGAGGAGCAGAUUAACAAGUAACGAGGUGGGGGAGGGCAUCACGUAUGAGUUUGCACUGGUCAGUUGUACUCAGUGUAGUAAACGGCAUCACUCCAUACACACACUUGUGUAUGAGCAUGGAGACACCUGAUCACAGACUAGAAGAGGACGCUUAAAUCUGUUCUCAUCAGAUGUGAAAUGUACUUUCAUCCUCCAGAAACACAUGAACCAAAAUGUGACGUCCACAGAUGAGUGACCCCUGGUGGAACACCUUCAGCACAACCUGCAAAGCCAUGAACAUGACUUUGGAAAAGGAGAUCUUUCCUGCAGCCAGGGACAGUCGCUUCAUCAGAGCGCUCAUUUGAGAAGAAAUGCUUCAUAAAUGCCACAGGACAGAAAUCUCCCCAGAGACCAGUGGAGGCUGCUGAGGGAAGGACGGCUCAUAAUAACGUCUGGAACGGAGCAAAUGGAAACCAUGUGUUUAAUGUAUUUAAUACCAUUCCACUGAUCCCGCUCCAGCCAUUACCACGAGCCCGUCCUCACCAAUUAAGGUGGCACCAACCUCCUGUGCUAGAGCCAAAUCACUGUGCAAUGAAUGAGCUAAAUGUGGUUCUCCCUAUAAAUGCAUCUAUCCUGAGAUUGUCAAGAUAUUUACAAUAGUAGAUGGUCCACACUCCAAAAACGGAAAUGUUCAGUUAUUUUAUGCAAUUUGAUUCGUAUAAAUCAAAAAUACAUAUUGAGUCUGUUAGGUCGUCGCUAGGUUUCCAUCCAAUUGGCGACAGAUUUUCAUGCGAAUAUUCGAAAAUCUGCGUAUAAGGAAUAUGCACAUUUUCUCACCAGAGAUGUUUUCAUCAACUUGUUGAUUAGAAGCUGUGUAUGAUGAUGUAGUGCACAUAAAAAUAACUUGAAUAAUUGGAACGUGCGCUCUAGCCAACAGCUCGCAGAUACAUUGCAAGUAUAGCCUACAUGAUGAGAUUAAUAUGUACAAAAGAGCAAGAUUAUCUUUUUUUUGUCAAACAGUAGCCAAGCAUUGAUCAUCAUGUCACUACAAUAAGACCCUCAAUAUUUAUUGGAAAGGUGGAUCAAGCUCAUCACCGUGCACUUUCCCCACCUUGUGAAGCUCAUUAUAACUUAUUUCAUCUGUCGCCUAAAAAACUGCAUGCUUUCUGAGUCAUAGUGGGAGGACCAAACAAAAUGUAAUUGUGAGACUCUAAGUUUACUUUGAUAUGAUGGUUAUUUUAUUAAUAUUUGCGCAUAAAAGCGUUUCCACAGCCAUUUCUCACAUAAUACAUUUUACAGACACAAAAAGAU